CGCGUAGGUGGUCGUGUAAGCGGGGGAUGAAAGCCCAUGGCUCACCCAUGGAACUGUCCCCCCGGACUGCACGGCUCGAGGAAGGAAGGGGAGAAUGGAAUUCCCGGUGUAGCGGUGAAAUGCGUAGAUAUCGGGAGGAACGCCGGUGGCGAAAGCGAUUCUCUGGUCCUUCCCUGACACUGAGGCGCGAAAGCUAGGGGAGAAAC
rnacentral:rRNA from 1 species